rnacentral:lncRNA from 1 species
AGUCAGACCCGCGCGGGCGGCCGUUGGCCGGGCUGCGCGUUCUCGAGCCUGCCUAGGGGAGGGUGGCGCGCGCUGCCCCUUGCCGGCCAUCACGCGCUUUAAUCUCAGGUUAGUCUGGUGCCAGUGGAACGGGCCAGCCCCGGCAGGGCCACGCCGUGGAUGGGCCUCAGGCAGUCCCGCGUCGAGGCGGGCGAGAAGCUUAUAUGGAUAAAACUGUGCCUACUAAACAAUGGCAUCUUAUAGUAAAAAAUCCGUGGCAAAUGUGCAGCUCCUCCAUAACAGUGACCACUAAUAAGAGCAGUCUUCUCAACGAAAAUAUACGUAAGAUACUGCAGCCAUCCUGAGCUGGGAAUUCAGUUAUCUCCUUGGACAGCAUAGAUUUCCUCAAUGCCUGAUCCCCUAAGAAAGAUUGCAGGAGCCUAUGGGAGAGAGUGACUGCUGAGAUGCAAGAACUAAGCGAGGGUAUCCCCACCAGAUAUGCAGUAAGUAACCUGUCUCCCCACAUUUUCAUCAGCCUCUAUUCAUUUUUUAAAAACUAUUUUUAAGUGCAACUGUUCUUUAAGCUGUGUGCUUGUCCUGUUGACUACAGCGAGCAAGUAAUAGUCUGAAUAAGGCAGUCAUCAUUACUAACUCCCAUUCAAAUCAAAGGGAGCUAUGUCCAAGUAAGCACUGAAUACAAAGCGAGAAAGG